rnacentral:rRNA from 1 species
AUGUCAACCGACUGUAGAUUUGAUGGUCCAGUUUCACAGGCAAUUGACAUUUGUAUCAAUUAUCCUGUGUAUACAUUAUGCUAUAUGACCAUGGAAGGUAUGCCUACAAAAUACAGAGCAGUUUGGUCUACAAAACAUUUUACAAAUAUAUUUGACGGUCCAUAUGUGUGUUUUCCUUUGACCCUGCAAAAGAAUUGUAAAAUAAUGAGCAGUUCUGGAAAAAUGCCAGAGGCCCAACUAAGCACAGUAGAAAGCCCGCAUCUCACUUUACCAUUAUAUAAUUCAUUUUGGUACCAUCUGACCUAA